rnacentral:rRNA from 1 species
CGGCGUAGAGAGUGGUUAUGGGACCCCUCCCGCAUUAAAGUCGAAAACCCCUUUGUCUGUUAUACGCACCCGGGGGCUCUAAGCCCGCUAACAAAAGUGACUUUAUUAUUGUCCACCAGAACCCACGACAGCUAGGACACAAACUGGGAUUAGAUACCCCACUAUGCCUAGCCAUAAACUUAGAUAUCUUGCCACAACAGAUAUCCGCCAGGGAACUACGAGCACUAGCUUAAAACCCAAAGGACUUGGCGGUGCCUCAGACCCCCCUAGAGGAGCCUGUUCUAGAACCGAUAAUCCCCGUUCAACCUCACCACUCCUUGCCCCUUCCGCCUAUAUACCACCGUCGCCAGCUUACCCUGUGAAGGCGCAAGCAAAAUGGGAAGCCCCCAAAACGUCAGGUCGAGGUGUAGCAAACGGAGUGGGAAGAAAUGGGCUACAUUGCCUGUCCCAGGCAAUCCACGAAGAGCCACCUGAAACGGUUACUUAAAGGUGGAUUUAGCAGUAAAGGGAGAGUAGAGUGCCCCCUUGAAGCCGGCUCUGAGGCGCGUACACACCGCCCGUCACUCUCCCCAACGGCCACAUACCAACGUAAAUAACACCAGAAGGCAACACAAGGGGAGGCAAGUCGUAACAUGGUAAGUGUACCG